rnacentral:tRNA from 1 species
GCCUAGCUAGCUCUAAGGGUAGCGCCUUUGCCUUGCAAGCGGUAGGUUGCGGGUUCGAUUCCCGCCCGAGGCG